AGGCGUAGCCCAUAGGCGCCCAUGGAACGGCAAAAAACCGACCCUCUCUCUGAGCGCCCCGCCCCGCCCCCAUGGCCUGAAGGAGCAUAGGAUGAGAACUAUCCCGGGGACCAAUCAGCAUGCGCGCCCGGAAUGGACGAGCCCCCCUCUCUGCACCCAAUCAUCUGCGAACGUGCCCUACAAAACAUCCGGCCAGCGCCGCCCAAACCCCAGGUGCCCUGACUCUGGCGCUCCCGCCUGGUGAUGACCGACAGAGCGCUGACAGGCACGUCCAGGGCAGGGCUGCUCCCCCGCGUCCCGCCCUCCCCAA